rnacentral:piRNA from 1 species
ACAUGGACUUCCCUGACAAGACU